GGGGAGGGAGGGGAGAAGCUGCAGCCGCCUGAGGCUCUUAACAGAGCGCUCGGGCGGCUGCAGUAUUUUAAAGGGCCGGCCCAGGAACGCGGCCGGCCCCCAGGUGCCGCGGCCCACCGGGAAAUUUCCCGGUAUCCCGGUGGGCCAGUCCGGCCCUGCCCCAAGGGGUUUCCCGGAGUGGGAGGAGGGCGCAAUAAGGAACUACAGUGCCAGGAAAACAACUUUUUCUUCCUGGCACUAAAGUUUCCCUUUAAAUUGAUUUUAUUUUCUUGCUAGGGCAACAAAGAUUUAUUAUGCCCUGUAUGCAUGUAGUCGAAAACUGCUUAGUAGAUUAAUAUAGUUUAAUAGACUGCAUGGGUAAAUAUACAUUUAUGAAAAUGUUAGUCAUGAACAUAUGACAUGUUCAAUUUGUAAAUGUUUUAUUACAUUAUUGUGUAACUGUUUUUUUCUACAUUCAAUAUAUUGUAUCAGAUGAUAUUUGUCAAUUUUAUUCCCCUGUUUUUCUUUAUAUUGAAUCUUGUUAUGUUUAUUACUGAAUAAUUAUAUUAAUUUUAAAAAAGUAUUUGAAGACAAAAAAAAAAAAUAAGAAAAUAACUUUGUAGAUGAAGCUUUUUUCCAAUUUUGUUAUUUUGGCAUAAAAUGUAAGAACUCGGUGGAUAAUUUCUAGCAGUUCACUGUUCAUUAAAUGCUUUUGUGUAUAAUUGCAAUAAGUAAAAAUAGUUUUGUGAUUUGGGGGAUUUCUAAUUAAAUUGACAUUUUGUUAACCAUAUAUAUGUCGUUUACUUUUAUUUAUACAUGCAUUUUGGC